GACGAACGCUGGCGGCGUGCUUAACACAUGCAAGUCGAACGAAGUGGCGAACGGGUGAGUAACGCGUAAUCAACCUGCCCUUCAGAAGGGGACAACAGGUGGAAACGACUGCUAAUACCGCAUACUGAAGGAGGGGAUUGCGUCUGAUUAGCUAGUUGGAGGGGUACCGGCCCACUAAGGCGAGGCUCAGUAGCCGGUCUGAGAGGAGGAACGGCCACAUUGGGACUGAGACACGGCCCAGACGCCGACGGGAGGCAGCAGUGGGGAAUCUUCCGCAAUGGACGAAAGUCUGACGGAGCAACGCCGCGUGAGUGAUGACGGCCUUCGGGUUGUAAAGCUCUGUUAAUCGGGACGCGGUACCGGAAUAGAAAGCCACGGCUAACUACGUGCCAGCCGCCGCGGUAAUAC
rnacentral:rRNA from 1 species